ACGGAGGGUGCAAGCGUUGUUCGGAAUUACUGGGCGUAAAGGGCGCGUAGGCGGCAAUGUAAGUCAGGGGUGAAAGCCUGCGGCUCAACCGCAGAACUGCCUUUGAUACUGGGACGCUUGAGUAUGGUAGAGGUUGGUGGAACUGCGAGUGUAGAGGUGAAAUUCGUAGAUAUUCGCAAGAACACCGGUGGCGAAGGCGGCCAACUGGACCAUUACUGACGCUGAGGCGCGAAAGCGUGGGGAGCAAACAG
rnacentral:rRNA from 1 species